ACAAAAAGCUAAAGCUUUUGGUGGUAUACGAUGGAUCCGCGUCUGAUUAGCUGGUUGGCGGGGUAAAGGCCCACCAAGGCGACGAUCCGUAGCCGGCCUGAGAGGGUGAACGGCCACAUUGGGACUGAGACACGGCCCAAACUCCUACGGGAGGCAGCAGUGGGGAAUAUUGCACAAUGGGGGAAACCCUGAUGCAGCGACGCCGCGUGAGUGAAGAAGUAUUUCGGUAUGUAAAGCUCUAUCAGCAGGGAAGAAAAUGACGGUACCUGACUAAGAAGCCCCGGCUAACUACGUGCCAGCAGCCGCGGUAAUACGUAGGGGGCAAGCGUUAUCCGGAUUUACUGGGUGUAAAGGGAGCGUAGACGGCAGCGCAAGUCUGGAGUGAAAUCCCAUGGCUUAACCAUGGAACUGCUUUGGAAACUGUGCAGCUGGAGUGCAGGAGAGGUAAGCGGAAUUCCUAGUGUAGCGGUGAAAUGCGUAGAUAUUAGGAGGAACACCAGUGGCGAAGGCGGCUUACUGGACUGUAACUGACGUUGAGGCUCGAAAGCGUGGGGAGCAAACAGGAUUAGAUACCCUGGUAGUCCACGCUGUAAACGAUGAAUACUAGGUGUUGG
rnacentral:rRNA from 1 species